GCUCAUUAUUGCCUAACUCCUAGCAUUUGCUGUCUAUGCUGCCAAAAAUGAGCCAGCAGCUAUACAUGGCUCUGAAACAUCAGCAGCCACAGACUCCACCAGCACUUGCUGUUUUCUUCAAGACAAGAAAGCAGAGUUCUUGGCUGAUGGUGUUUACACCUGACAUCUUCUCCUCUUGGACCAUGCUGUGAUUCAACUAUGCAUAACCACAUUAACUGCUUUUUUGUAGAACAAUGAGUCAUCUUGUUCUUCACCACUAAACCACAGUUCUUUUGAUCUACCAGUAUGGAUUUGGCAUAUGACACUAUUCUCAGAGACUUUGGGCCCAUGGGCAAAGGUCCUAUACACAAAAGAUGCUCUGUCCAGUGAGAAAACAACCAUCCACAGAAGGCACGAUGUUAUCCUGUGAGGAUAUCCCGUGAGGAAACAAGGUCCAAUGGG